GAGUUUGAUUAUGGCUCAGGACGAACGCUGGCGGCGUGCUUAACACAUGCAAGUCGAACGGAGCUGUUUAUUUCGGUAGAUAGCUUAGUGGCAAACGGGUGAGUAACGCGUAGGCAACCUGCCCUUAGGAUGGGGACAACGGCCCGAAAGGACCGCUAAUACCGAAUGCACUCUAACUUCCGCAUGGAAGAAAGAGGAAAGAUGGUGCAAGCCAUCGCCGAAGGAAGGGCCUGCGUCUGAUUAGCCAGUUGGUGAGGUAACGGCUCACCAAAGCGACGAUCAGUAGCCGGUCUGAGAGGAUGAACGGCCACAAUGGGACUGAGACACGGCCCGUACUCCUACGGGAGGCAGCAGUGGGGAAUCUUCCGCAAUGGGCGAAAGCCUGACGGAGCAACGCCGCGUGAGUGAAGAAGGUCUUCGGAUCGUAAAGCUCUGUUGUUGGGGACGAAAGGAAAAGGGAGGAAAUGCCCUUUUAAGACG
rnacentral:rRNA from 1 species